CCAGUGGGUUGUCCAGUGAGUGAUUCCUGUUUCCCCUAAGGCUGCCUCUCAUUAGCAUGAAUCGGGGGAAGGGCAUAAAAGACUCCAGUUCAUUUGGAGUCUGGAAAAUCUUUACUUCAAAAUGACAACCAAAGUGUUCUGGCUCCUCUGCUUUGCCAUUAGAUCAUCUUCCAGCUCCGUGGCCGGAUCCCUGCCCUAUGCUGAGAAACAACAUCAGACUCUCAGCAAAGAUGCUUACAGCUCAGCAGGCACUGCACCUGGCCACGUCAAACUGCCAGCCUGGGGCAGCAGCAGAGAGAACCACACAGAGCACUGGCUCCUGCCUCCUGCUGACCUGCAGUGGCCAAAACCUCCUGAAGUCACCUUCCUCUCCUCGGACAAAAAGAAACGCACCAAACCUGCUCUAGAGAACAGCACGGGGCUGAGGAAACACCUCCUGCAGUAUGGAGGGGCCCUGCCACUGGAGAGCACGACUGAGGGGCCUGCUCCUGCCUCUUUUGACUUCAAUCAUGCCAACAGAAAGCACAUGGACAGGCGGCUGGCUGAGGCUGCCAACAGCAUCUCAGCUCACUUCCACCACGCAGCAUCUCCCUAUCACAAGAUGACAUCCUUAGUGGAGGCUCAUCUCUUUCCAGACUCUGGAGCAGUGGAAGCAGGUGAUCCUAAUGCACUGGAUCACUUCAACCGACCAGGCAAGAUAAUCCCCUACAAACAUAUUGAUCCCUUCCAAAAGACCACCAGACCCUCCUGGGUCACCAACCGCCAGUCAUCCAGCUUGCUGUACCACCUCAAUGCACUAAAGAAAGAUGGUGAUAAGGAGAAGGCAUGUCUGACUGAGUGCAGGAAAGAGAGAGAUGAAGUGGAGGCCUACUGCACAAGUGAAUUCGCAGCAGUGAACGGUAUUGUGUAUAACAUGGAAAAACUGGGGAAUGGCAUCCACCUGAUCACACUUCUGGUAAACAACGAUGGACUGUACAAGAUGAGUCGCCUCUAUACCACUCCUGAUGCCUUCUUCUUUCGAGUUCACAUGCUAGUUGUGGAUACUUUCAACUGCAGUAAACCGUGUCUGGACUUGAAAAUUGGCAGCAGAUACAUUGUGAUGGGUCAGAUCUACCACAAGAGACGACAGAUCUCUGCAGCCCUGCUGCCUUUCCUGCGAGGGCGCCUGAGCCCGGGGGAUGGUUUGCUUCGGAGCGGCAGCAGCUACGUGAAGAGAUUUAACAGGAAGAGGAACCGCAAGGUGCUGGCGGCUCGCACCAAGUGCAGAUAAGGCUUCAGUGACAUCCCUCUGACAGGCAGCAGCAGAAUUCACCAACCAGAAUAAACCAGGCCGUGGUUUAGCAACAGCAGAAGGGAUGUCGGCACCACUAGAAACCUGCUAGAGGGAUGACAGCUGCUUUGGAAUGCGACGUAGUAAACGCUCCUCUUGGAGCAGAAUGAAGUCAAGAUCUCCCUGGUCACCCCCACCCCUACCACUCUGCAGUGUCUACACUUCCGAACAGAUCCCCGAAGCGUUACAAACGUAUUAGUGCACACGCAAAGACACCUACAUCUGUGGGGAGAACAAUGAUCUCCAUUUAUUUUGUUUCAUAUACAUCCAUAUUUUGAAUUUUAAUACAAAAGAAAAAAAAAUUAGAAUCUGACAAAUGUUUACAAACAAGAUACCUUCAAAUAGAUUUUACUCAUUUCAGUCUGGUGCAGAGUAAAUGACAAAUUGUACUGUUAUAUUCAAGGCAACAGAGUCUGUAGUCCAUGACCACUUAGCCCAACUUUUAUGCAAGCUUAAUUGUUUUUAUCUACCAUGAACGAUAAACUCCUUGUUGAUUCCCAGUUCUGUGUGUGUGCACAUGUGUACAUAGCAGCUCCUUUCAUAGAAAGAAAAGACAUCUAGAGGUCUUCUUGUACUUUUACCUACAGGAAUCAUGUUAAGAUACAGAAUGGAUUACAUGUAACCGGGGCUGGAUUUUAUAAGAAAAAAUAAUUAGCUGACAAAUGAGGGCAGCAAUAAAAAAGCGUCUUUUUUGCAACAAUAAAUAAAUACAGUCAAAGUUUUCUGUGUGGACUUUAAACCAGCUUCUUCACUGAAGAACAGACGUGGCAUUUCCAUGGAGUUAAACGUGACCCCAUUUACUGUAUCUUUUUUUCUUGCUCUCUUUCUCUCUCUCCUUCAACAAAACCAAGUUUUCCUGCUUCUGCCACAAUAGUACAACAAUUUGCUCUUGACAAGAAAGUGGUGCUGCUGAUUUUUAUCUCUUUGUCCUUUGGACAAAAUAAGCCGAGAAUAUAAUCUGACUGUUGUGACCAAUAAAAACGCAGUUUACAUCGAGUCUCGUCAGGAUAACCUGACUAAAAACAUCUGGCUUCUUAAUUAAAACCUUUCAGACAACCAGA